GCUACAUUUAGCUGUAUUUUUGAGGGUUCAAAUCCCCCAUGGUCGAAUCUAAAUUAAAAAUAUGAUUCUCUUUUACAACAAAGUCGACUACUUAAGGAAAGGUCAAUUGAGAUGUCCUUGUGUGAUUCAUGCCUUUGGUAUCGUUAAAUUUAAUCGUUCAUGGUUAAUGUUGACCGUUUACUUAAACACAUCGCAGUGCCAAAUAGAUUACACUUCAAUUCAACGUUUUUUUCCUGACAUGCUAAUAUCGCAUUUGUUGUUAAGUUUCUGUAUGAUAUAAUUUCGAAGUAACUGAAGUCCAUGUUAUCUAUCUUUACAUGUCGUUCGUCGUUUCUUAUGUAAGAGACCAAAACUCGACAAUGACGGUGAAAAAUUGCAUAGUACAGAAUAAUAUGGCGUUUACGUUUACGCAAAUAUGUGACGUGCAAAUGUGCUACCUUUAUACAAAUGUUUGAAAGCUGUAAUAUGUUCUCAAGUAUAAAACUUAACCCACAGUGUCGAUUCUUAACCUUGUUCUUUUCCCGAUCUCAGACUUGGUAACACAAAGGGCGGAUCUUGUGCCGAAAUCAUAGUUGUGCGCGGAGAUAGGGAACUAUUCGACAUAUAAAGGUAAAGGUUAAGUCCUUCAGAUAGACGAAAGCACUCCAACUUUGAGCAAGUUAAAAGAGUAAGCGACAAGUCUAUUAUUGCCAUCUCAUGGAAAGAGGUUACGCUUUAGAACUCUUGGAACCCUAAAUUUUAAACCCUAAACUUUAAAUGCAAUAUAAACGAUGGAAUCGAAAACAGUACGCUACUUUUUUUUCAAUAUAUUUACGAUUUCUUAUAGAUAUAUGAUAUACAUACAUAUAUAUUUACAAAUAAUUUCAUAUUUAGGCACGUUUUUAUUUUCUAUUGUAUAUUUUGUGUGUACAUAUAUAGCAUGACAGUUAAAUAUUAUUAUUUAUUGUUGUUAUGUGCAAUGUUAUUUCACAGUACGACGUCUUAUUUGAAAAAA